UAGGGAAUCUUCGGCAAUGGACGGAAGUCUGACCGAGCAACGCCGCGUGAGUGAAGAAGGUUUUCGGAUCGUAAAGCUCUGUUGUAAGAGAAGAACGAGUGUGAGAGUGGAAAGUUCACACUGUGACGGUAUCUUACCAGAAAGGGACGGCUAACUACGUGCCAGCAGCCGCGGUAAUACGUAGGUCCCGAGCGUUGUCCGGAUUUAUUGGGCGUAAAGCGAGCGCAGGCGGUUAGAUAAGUCUGAAGUUAAAGGCUGUGGCUUAACCAUAGUACGCUUUGGAAACUGUUUAACUUGAGUGCAAGAGGGGAGAGUGGAAUUCCAUGUGUAGCGGUGAAAUGCGUAGAUAUAUGGAGGAACACCGGUGGCGAAAGCGGCUCUCUGGCUUGUAACUGACGCUGAGGCUCGAAAGCGUGGGGAGCAAACAGGANUAGAUACCCUGGUAGUCCACGCCGUANCGAUGAGUGCUAGGUGUUAGACCCUUUCCGGGGUUUAGUGNCGUAGCUNACGCANUAANCACUCCGCCUGGGGAGUACNACCGCNAGGUU
rnacentral:rRNA from 1 species